GACGAACCUUGCUAACGUUAUUCGGAAUUACUGGGCUUAAAGGGUGCGUAGGCGGUGCAGAAAGUUGGGUGUGAAAGCCCUCGGCUCAACCGAGGAAUUGCGCCCAAAACUGCUGCACUAGAGGAAGACAGAGGUACGCGGAACUUAGGGUGGAGCGGUGAAAUGCGUAGAUAUCGUCUGGAACGCCAAAGGUGAAAACAGGUCGCUGGGGCUGAGCUGACGCUGAGACACGAAAGCCAGGGGAGCGAACGGG
rnacentral:rRNA from 1 species